rnacentral:pre_miRNA from 1 species
AACGUACUCCCUCCGUUCGAAAUUACUUGUCUCGGAAAUAAAUGUAUCUAGAUGUAUUUUUUUAGAUACAUUCAUUUCCGGGACAAGUAAUUCCGAACGGAGGGAGUAGUAA